rnacentral:lncRNA from 1 species
UUGAUUGUUAUUUUAUUUCAAAUCGGAUCGAGAAGGUAAAAUAUUUAUCAUUUUGUUGGCCGCCACAGAAACCCCUCUUUUUUCACAAUUUCUCUGCAGAACUAAUUGGAAACCUGGUAUGUAUACAAGUUCAGUUCGUUGGACUAACCCUAGUUGUCAUUCAUUUGACAUAAAUCCUAUUAAAAAGAAAGGGACAAUAAAAAAACAGAAUCAAAAGUUAGGUCACAUGUUUUUCUGGUAAGCUUUCCUGAAUGUUGGGUGCAGAUUUGAAGAUAAAUUUGAGGUGUAGAAUUGAAGACAGAAAAGAUGUUGAUUAAAUAUUAAGCUGCAGAAACCGAAAUUAAAGUCUCCAAUUAUUCUGACCACAAAAAAAAAAAAAAGAAAAAAAAGUGUCUAAUUAUUUACUAUAUCUUCCAAGUCCAAUCCAUCAUGUCAGGUAAUAAACUAUAAAUCAUUGACAGAUAUAAUAAAAAACUAAAUUGAAACCAAAAUCCC